UUAAGCGCAACUAACGGUUAAGAUGAAGGCGUGAUAGUGAUGACAAGGUCCAUUCACGUGCGUUCUUCGAUUUGUAUAUAUCCAUUUCGCUUUCACUACUUUCCUCCCUUCAUCACAUUCACUAUUUCCUGUUGUGUGUGUGUGAGAGAGAGAUGGAUCCUCCUCCUUCACAAUCCAUUGAUAUUUCCCAAGGCGGCGGGGAUGAUACUCAAGACAAGCUCAUCAAUGACUGUUGCUCUUGCUGCUAUGACUGUACUCAGGGCUGCUUUGAUUACCUCUGCUGUAACUUGUGUUGAACUCAUCAUGUAAUUAUCUAUGCCCUUAUGAGAACAUGGAAAAGAUUUUUUAAAGUGAGAAAUCAUCGAAUUUGUAGUUUCUAUAGUAUAUGAUCUCGGAAAAAUUUAAAAUGUACUGGUACAUUAGUAUUAUAGUAAUUUUUAACGGUUGAUUUUAAUUAUAAAAAAUAUAUGUAAUAUAUAUAAUUAAGAUCAAAUGUUAAAAUUUACUGAAAUAUUAGUGUAUUGGUAGACUUAAAAACUUUCUUAUGAUGUUUACUAUUUUAAUUUAAGAGUCAUUCAAAUGAAAGGAAAAAGCACUGCAUGUUCUUGACACAUUCCUCUGCUCUUCCAAGCUGUAUUUUCCGUAUCAUUCUUUUUGCCCUUUAAUUUCCUACUAGUUACAUAUAUGCCUUUUGCUUAUUAUUGAUUGUUAAAGAAGAUGAACAGAAUAAAUUAGUAGUGUUUUUCACUUUAAUGUUGAAGCAUCGCUUCAAUUAUUUGCAAUAAGUUGCAACCACGAUCUGAGUUUCUUAUUACUUGGUUGCAACUUGCAAAAAUGGAGAUGAAUCGUGAUCAAAGGUUGGGGUGUGCAAGAUUGAUUUCUUCCGAUA